ACCUGUGCAGCUCCAGCACACAACAUAUCUAAAUUUUAGACUAUCUCUAAAUUGGGUGGUGAAUGUAGACGUUGAUGAAGUAGCACUGCAUCAAUUCAUGGGAACAGCUUCAUUAAGUUCCAGCGUCUCAGGCCCAGUUAUGUUUGUGGUAAGGCCAUCCGAACAUCAAACCCUAAUCGAGGAACAUGAAGAAGGAGGAAGACUUUGAAGGGCACGGGCGAGUCAAAACGGAAUCGUAUUCAUGGUAAAGAUCCAAUCUAAUAUCAAGUAAUUGUCGCAAGUGCGUGCAUCAAAAACUACUCAAUACAAGUUGAUUCAUCUCUCUCUUCAUUUUGACACAAUAUACAUGGAAGUGGCGUGUUAAGUUCAUUGUGACCUUUCAUGACAGGACUUCAACAUCGUUCCCAUGGCUUUAACGAGUCUGGCAUCAGCGCAUAACGAUAUUCGCGAGAAUGGCCUACCUAGGACACUGAAAUAUUUUUUUAACACAUCUGUGCAUUUAGGACAACCAUGUGGGUCUUUGCAAUAGAAUAACCAUAUGAUAAUUGCUUCUUACAACGAGACAAUUGCUUUCUUGCAG
rnacentral:lncRNA from 1 species